AUGCUAGAUAAUACUCAGACUGAAGUGCAACUCAUUUUCAUGGAAAGUUUGAAAUCACCGACACACUUGAUCAUUUAUCCAGUUGCCUCCAUGCAGAUUCAGAAGCUCGGCCACAGACACCUCCAUCUGAGAUUCCUGGCCAGUGUUUAUCAGUCCCAGAUUACCUGCCAAUGCUCAUGGAACCUGUAUCAUAGGAGGGCGUUUUUUAUGAGGUGCUACUUUCCCAUCGAGCAACACAAGAGCUGUCAGCUUUGCCUGUCCAAACUGAGGCAUAGACGUCUAGGCACGCAUCAGGGUGGAGGUGGAAUUUAAUCUAACAGAGAGAACUGAGAACCCAGAGAAAACAGCAUUUUGGAACUGAUGUUCUCUCUGGAAUAUUGAAAGACCUUAUACAUACCUCAGGGAUUGUAUCUGUAUGGAUGGGUGUGGAGACCUGCUUGCCUGCUCUUAUACUUUGAGCUACCAGGCUGCAGGCCAGCUCUGAUAUGAAAACUGAAACCGUGGCGAUGUGACACUGUGUGUGCAUUCACCAUAACUGUGCUCUCUGCAGGACUUACCAACGGCUCUGAGCUCUUGGUUAGUGCAGCUACCUGAUACCCAGACCAGUCUGGCUAACAUCCAGCUGGCUCAGACCAUAAGCAACUGCAUGCACCACCCUGCAUGGGCACUUUUGCUUAGUUGCAGUAGUCAGUUCCCACAAUGGCAAUGCAGCAGUUGUACACAGACACAUAGUGAAUUGCUAGUCACUGCAGUGGAAGCAAACUCUUCCUUGUGACAACAACACUCUUGGUAUAUCAUUUCAUAUUUCAUAGUACAUAAUCCUGGAUUGUUCAAGUAAGAUGUAAAAAUGGCAAUAUAUUGAAACCAAAGAAAAAAAAAUUAAAACCAGAGCAACUCUAAACUGACAUUUUUAAAAUUUCUUUGAAAUGAAAUUAAGCUUUUCAAAGACAAAUGGGUUUCUUGUGGCUCCAAAAGAAACAGUCAGCAAUAAAAUCCAGACUUACUUGUGUGUAAAUGAUUUAGGUGGCAAGUGGGGAGGAGAUGGUCAUAAAGGGCUGAGCUGAAGAAAGUACAUUUGCAAGUUCUUGAAAAACCCACGUAGGAGAGAGUUCCGCAGAAAAACGGAAUAGUAUGACUCAAUCCAGAUAAGGUUUUCCACAGGGAAUAAAAGACAAAACCUUUGAUCUAGGUUGCUGUGAUAGAAAAUUGAGGAAUAAAUAAUGGUUCUGUUAAUGUCUUAAUCAUAGCUUAUACGUGAUGUUCUCUUGCCAAUAUUCCUUUGCUUCUCAUUGUACUUUGACACAACACGAUUGCAGGAGUGUAUCAAGUAAACUCAAUAGCUCUUCCAGAGGAGGCCUGUCUCCUUGUAGCCCACCAAAGCUGGAUGUAUCAGAAGAAAGGGACUAGAUGAAAAGCAGCCAAGGGGACUUCCUGGCUGGGGAUUGUGUAGCCAGCCAUCAGCCUACUUUCAUGGAAAAGCUAGUAAGGGAAGCAUCCCCAGGGAACCAUUUGGGCAAACAAUGACAGAUGGAUCUGGGGAGUCAAACGUCUUGCUUGAGCAACAUCUGCUGGUGUUGGAAGUAUCCAGAAAGCCACACCACACUUAAAAAUGAAACAAAUCUUCAAGAAGAAGAAGAGCAAACCAAGAUAAAUUAGCUGUAAUAACCUGCACUUUAACCAUCAUCCUGAAUGAAAAAGUUGCAUAGCAGAAGUCAGGCCAAGUAGAAAGCAGAGAUCAUUCAGUAUCAUAAUCAAGCCUAAGCCAAAUAAGGGCUGGCCAUAUCCCAGACUUCCAGGUAUUAAACUCUCAAUCCUGCUCAAAACAUGGUUAUUUACAUGCUAGUUAUUUACAUUCUAGUUCACCUGCACAUUGCUCCUAAAGUAUGGGGAAAGCAAAACACUUAAAAAUUUUGGUAAAUGAAGCUUUCGGUAGUGAAGCUUUGUUAGAUUUUUGUGUUGUUUGUGAGUCUUGUAUCUUUUUAAAGCCAGAAAACUGAGAUACAGAAUGGUUACACUGAUCAAAAAGCAGAAAGAGAGGGCACCAAGGCUUUGAAUAGAAAACAUAUAAAUUCAUAAGAAAAGGUAUGAGGAAGCAUAUUUUUGAAACUAUUAUCCCUAAUAAAAAACCAACAAAACCUAGUGCUACAGUGAAAUUAUGUGAAAUUCUCACACCUGUUACUACAUUUCACCUAGCAUAUUGAUCUAAUGACUGAGCAGGCUGUAGACUUUUGCUCAAAGAUCGUAAAGACACAGUACCCUGCUCCAAGAUGAAAAAGCUCUGUGUCUGCACAUAGCAGAUUAAGGCUGGUUCCAUUAGUGUCAGAAACACCUCUGUACUGUUUUAUUCACUUUUACAGAUACAAUUGUCAAUAAUUACUUGGCCUUCUGUUUAAACAGGGAGACACCUGGUCAUUGAUGAAUGAGUUGGUACCUUAGUGGCUUAAUGUAUAGGAAGCUUUUAAGUUUCUGGAGGACAAGUGAAAACUGAGUUAUUUAUAGUUUAACCUUUCAUUUCUUUUCAUGCUUCAUAUCUUUGAAACCAAUGUCAUUUUUAGCUGUCAAAAUACAGAGGCACCAGUUUCAUUUUUGCAAACCUACAUAUUUAAAGAAGGAUGUUUAAACAGUGCUGGCAACUUUGUAUUUCUAAAUGUUAGUGUUCUGGUUUUCAUCUAAAUAAAGGAAGCAGGAUUUGCAGUUGAAAUAUAAGUUUGUAAGCACAAAAAAUACAGUUGGGAAAAAUAUGUGGAGAAAAAAAGCGCCAAUUAAAAAUAUCUGUGUUAAAAUUGGACUGUAAUGACUGCUGCAAUAUUGCUGUUACUGAUGCAGUCACUGUAAAAAGCAGAGUGCCAGGGCCAAGUACAGAAGCAAGAGGAAUUAACUUUUAGCUACUCCAGCAGGGCAGAGCCCUGUGAAUCACACUAGGAAGCCCAGAUCAAAUCCUCUUGUGUAAACAUCAUUCGGGGCUGGCUCUA
rnacentral:lncRNA from 13 species